rnacentral:rRNA from 1 species
AUUGAACGCUGGCGGCAUGCCUUACACAUGCAAGUCGAACGGUAACGGGCCUUCGGGUGCCGACGAGUGGCGAACGGGUGAGUAAUGCAUCGGAACGUACCUUUCAGGGGGGGAUAACGUAGCGAAAGUUACGCUAAUACCGCAUAUUCUGUGAGCAGGAAAGCAGGGGAUCGCGAGACCUUGCGCUGAUUGAGCGGCCGAUGUCAGAUUAGCUAGUUGGUGAGGUAAAGGCUCACCAAGGCGACGAUCUGUAGCGGGUCUGAGAGGAUGAUCCGCCACACUGGAACUGAGACACGGUCCAGACUCCUACGGGAGGCAGCAGUGGGGAAUUUUGGACAAUGGGGGCAACCCUGAUCCAGCCAUGCCGCGUGAGUGAAGAAGGCCUUCGGGUUGUAAAGCUCUUUCGGCCGGGAAGAAAUCGUAUGGGCUAAUACCCUGUGCGGAUGACGGUACCGGCAUAAGAAGCACCGGCUAACUACGUGCCAGUCGCCGCGGUAACAC